AAAGCAGACAAUGGAUGCCUUGGCUGUUUAAGCCGAUGAAGGACGUUGCAAUCGACGAUAUCGUCGGGUAGGUGAUAAGCAACCUAUGAUCCGGCGGUUUCCGAAUGGGGAAACCUAACGCCUAGCGUUGCGUCUUUUUUAAAGACGAGGGAACCAUCCGAACUGAAACAUCUAAGUAGGAUGAGGAAAAGAGAACAAUUGUUAUUCCGUUAGUAGCGGUGAGCGAAAACGGAGGAGCCUAAACCUUCUUUUUGAAGGGGUUGUGGGGCAAGAAAUAUAGGAUUGUUAAAGAUAGAAGAAUAUCUUGGAAUAGAUAGCCAGAGAAAGUGAAAGCCUUGUAAUCGAAAUCUAAAACAACCUUAUCUUGUUCCCAAGUACCACGGAACACGUGUAAUUCUGUGGGAAGCUACCAGGGACCACCUGGUAAGGCUAAAUACUUAAACAGACCGAUAGUGAACUAGUACCGUGAGGGAAAGGUGAAAAGUCCCUGUAAUAGGGAGUGAAAUAGAACCUGAAAUUGUCUGCUAACAAGCAGUCAGAGUCAUAAUUUAUUAUGAUGAUGACGUGCCUAUUGAAGAAUGAACCGGUGAGUAUUCGUUUAAUUAUUAGUUUAAGCUAUUUUGUAGCGAAGGCGCAGGGAAACCGAGUCCUAACAGGGCGUUUUUAAAGUGAUUAAACGGAUGACCCGAAACCGAGCGAGCUAACCAUGAGCAGGGUGAAGUUCAUCGAAAGAUGAAUGGAGGCCCGCACCAGUGUCAGGUAAAAAUGGCUUGGAUGACUUGUGGUUAGGGGUAAUAUGCUAAUCGAGCUCGGAGAUAGCUGGUUCUCCCCGAAAUAUAUUUAGGUAUAGCGGUGUUGUUACAUUUUGAUGGGGUAGAGCACUGAAUGAUGGUAGGGCAGCAAUGUCUUGUCAUUAAUCAAACUCCGAAUACGUCAAAAUUUAUACACUAGUCAGUCUUGCCGGGCUAAGCUGGUAAGGCAAAAGGGAAACAACCCAGACUCUCAUUUAAGGUCUCUAAAUCUUACUUAAGUGUUUAAAGAAAGUGAAGUUCCUAAAACACCUAGGAGGUUGGCUUAGAAGCAGCCAUCCUUUAAAGAAAGCGUAACAGCUCACUGGACGAGGAAUUUUGCGUCGCAAAUCCAGGAGGCUAAAGUAAGUACCGAAAAUGGAGCUGCGUCUAAUUUCGAUUAGAUGUGGGGUAGGGGAGCGUCAAUAUUGCAGUGAAUCUGUUUCGUAAGGAACAGUGGAGCGGUAUUGAGUGAGAAUGCCGGUAUAAGUAGCGAAAUUCCAGUGAGAAUCUGGAACGCCGAAUGUCCAAGGUUUCCCACGUAAUGUUCGUCAGCGUGGGGUUAGUCGACCCUAACCCGAGGCCUCAUGGCGUAGGGGAUGGAUAGCAGGUUUAUAUUCCUGCACUUUAAUUAUUUCGUUAUCAAUCAGGGAGGGACGGGAUUUGAUAGGUAAGGUGUCUUAUUGAUUUGGCAUUGAAACAACAAAGCAGUUCUAAUAGGCAAAUCCGUUAGAACGACGUUGAGUUGAAUUAAAAGGUCAAAGGUAACGGCGACCGAUUUUACUGAUUUAAAUCUCCAAGAAAAGCUUCGUGAUGAGAAAUAAUUAAAACCGUACCGCAAACCGACACAGGUGGACUGGACGAGUAGUCUAAGGCGAGCGAGAGAAGAGAGUUUAAGGAACUCGGCAAAUUAGCUGGACGUAACUUCGGGAGAUGUCCUCCCUAUCUUUGAUAGGGCGCAGCGAAAGAUUGCUUACCGACUGUUUAUCUAAAACACAGGUCUCUGCAAAGGCGAAAGCCAAAGUAUAGGGGCUGAGGCCUGCCCAGUGCUGGAAGGUUAAGAGGACCUCCUUUAUGGAGAGAAUUGAAGCCCCAGUAAACGGCAGCAGUAACUAUAACUGUUCUACGGUAGCGAAAUUCCUUGUCGGGUAAGUUCCGACCCGCAUGAAAGGCUUAACGAGUAAGCAACUGUCUUGAACUCUUUCUCGGCGAAAUUGAAAUGGCUGUGAAGAUGCGGCCUAAUUACUGCAGGACAAAAAGACCCCGUGGAGCUUUACUACAACUUGGCACUGAAAAAUGUACGUGAAUUGUUUAGAAUAGGUGGGAGUUUUCGAACGUCAGUGAAAUACCACUCUUUUGUUUAUAUUUUUCUCACCAAAAUAUGCUGGAAACGCAUAUUGGGACAAUGUCUGGUGGGUAGUUUGACUGGGGCAGUCGCUUGCUCAAGAGUAAUGCAAGCGUACAAAGGUUAGCUUAGCGCGUAUGGAAAUCGCGCUGGACGUAUAAAGGCAUAAGCUAGCUUGACUGUGAGACUGACAGGUCGAGCAGGAACGAAAGUUGGUCUUAGUGAUCCUCGAAUCCGAAGUGGUUUCGGAUCGAGCUUAACGGAUAAAAGCUACCCCGGGGAUAACAGGUUAGUCGCGCCCGAGAGUUCAUAUCGACGGCGCGGUUCGACACCUCGAUGUCGGCUCAGCGUAUCCUGGGGCUGAAGAAGGUCCCAAGGGUUGGUCUGUUCGCCCAUUAAAACGCUACGUGAGCUGGGUUCAGAACGUCGUAAGACAGUUCGGUCUCUAUCCGCAGUAAUCGUUGAAUAUCUGAAGGAAUCUGACCACAGUACGAGAGGACCUGGUUGGAGGAAUCCCUAGUGUGCCAGUUGUUUCUAUCAAGAGCAGCGCUGGGUAGCUACAUUCCUUUAGGAUAACCGCUGAAAGCAUCUUAAGCGGGAAGCCUUACCUAAGAUUAGAUAUUCUUUCUCCUUUAUUGGAGAUGAAGAUCAGUUGUAGACCACAACUUUGAUAGGCUGGAAGUGUAAUUAGAGUAAUCUAUUUAGCUAACCAGUACUAACGAUCGAUAAAAUUAGCU
rnacentral:rRNA from 1 species